GUUUGCCUACGGGGGGCAGCAGUGAGGAAUAUUGGUCAAUGGACGAGGGUCUGAACUAGCCAAGUAGCGUGCAGGAUGACUGCCCUAUGGGUUGUAAACUUCUUUUAUAUGGGAAUAAAUCGUUCCACGUGUGGGAUUUUGUAUGUACCAUAUGAAUAAGGAUCGGCUAAUUCCGUGCCAGCAGCCGCGGUAAUACGGAGGAUCCGAGCGUUAUCCGGAUUUAUUGGGCUUAAAGCGCGCGUAGGUGGAUUGUUAAGUCAGAUGUGAAAGU
rnacentral:rRNA from 1 species